UAAGACAUGCAAGUCGAACGGAGAAUAUCAAUAGUUUACUAAUGGUAUUUUCAGUGGCGGACGGGUUAGUAACACGUGAGCAACCUGCCUUGAAGUGGGGGAUAGCCUUUCGAAAGAGAGAUUAAUACCGCAUAUGGCUCCCUGUGAAAAGGAAAGUCAAAGGUGCCUUCGGGUGCCGCUUUGAGAUGGGCUCGCGUCCUAUCAGCUAGUUGGUGAGGUAAAGGCUCACCAAGGCAACGACGGGUAGCUGUUCUGAGAGGAAGAUCAGCAACACUGGAACUGAGACACGGUCCAGACACCUACGGGUGGCAGCAGUCGAGAAUCAUUCACAAUGGGGGAAACCCUGAUGGUGCAACGCCGCGUGGAGGAUGAAGGACCUAGGUUCGUAAACUCCUGUCAUUGGAGAGUAAGGCAUAGAUGUUAAUACCAUUUAUGUUUGAUAGUAUCCAAAGAGGAAGGGACGGCUAACUUCGUGCCAGCAGCCGCGGUAAUACGAAGGUCCCGAGCGCUAUUCGGAAUCACUGGGCGUAAAGGGAGCGUAGGCGGCGCGGUAAGUCAGAUGUGAAAGCCCAAGGCUCAACCUUGGAACUGCAUUCGAUACUGCCGUGCUAGAGUCAUG
rnacentral:rRNA from 1 species